UGGAGCCAGCAGGAGGGGAAUGAAGAGCAAGGAGCCAAGUGGCGGAAAGGGGUUUGGGCACCUUCCUCCCCACAGGGACCGCAAGAUCUUCGGGGACUUAGCAGUGACUUUCUUGAAGGAGGACUUAGCGAGAAGGCAAAAAAUGCCCAGAAGAGGGCGCUUACCAGAGCCCAGCCGAGCUGGCACCAUGAUCUAGGGCUUCCAUCCUCCAGAGCUGUGAGAAAACACAUUUUGUUCUUUAAGUCACCCCGUCUGUGGCGUUCUGUCACGGCAGCCUGAGCUGACUGAUGUAGUAGCAAUUUGUCCAGCUUGGUUAUUGCUACGAUCGUUGCUUGUAGACUACAGAUGGACCAGCUUUGUCUGAUGGGCUGUAAGCUUCUGGGGACUCUAUUAUGUACUCAUUCUGCGUUCCCUCAGAGAACCCCCUGGAUUUGAGCCCAGGGUUGGACCUUCAUAAAGGUUUGUUGAAUGACGGAUGGAUUGACGGACAGAUGGGCUGAAGGAAGGGGACAGAAGCUCAGAUAACUGACUCCACUAGAUGAGCCAGAGGACAUUGUCAUGGCCACAGGGGCGUAAGAAAUGGCAGCUCGGGCUAAGCCAGUACAGCUUGGACCAGAGGCUAAUGUGCUUCCAGGGGCUGAGGGGCAGCCCAGGAGGGCCCCAUUGCCACCUCUGUGACCAAGCGCGUGAGGAAGAUCCGAUAUUUUCUACAGGAAUCCUUCAGAGUAGAGAUGCCACGCUCAGCUCAUCGGGAGCUGUCUGCACGUCACUUGUCCAGAUGAACCAGCUUCCAUUCGUCCCAAGAGACUGCUCUUUUCCCAAGAAGGAGCCAACAUAAUUGAGGGAAGGAAAACACCUCUCAGAAGUGGGCCUCAUCUGGAGCCGGGACCGGCGCGCGCCCGGGUCGGGGACCCUCUUCAGAAACAUGUUGACCUGAUUCUGAGCUCAGGCUUCGUGAGGCUGAGAAAUGGCCUUGGGUGUAUGUCUUAAAAGACUAUGAAACAAGGCGCCACCCUGUUGUCUCAACCUCUUUUCGCAGCUUCAUCUCCCUCCCUGCAAGGUUCAGCGUGGACCUUCUGUUGCCUCAGGCCUGCCGUCCCCAGUUCUAACCUGUGAGCCAAGGACGGUCUCUGCCUCUGUCCAGGGGCCCAGACUUCUCCCAUCUGCAAACUCAGAGAUCUCAUCGCUCAGCCUCUGCUUCCAUCAUCAUAUCCCCUUCUCUGACUCUCCUGCAUCCCUCUUUCCCUUAAAUGGACCCUUGUGAUCACGUGGGAUCCACCCAGAUAAUCCAGGACAAUCUACCUGUCUCAAGAUCCGUAAUUCAGUCACAUCUGCAGAGUCCCUUUUGCCACGUAAGGUGACGUCGUCGCGGGCUCCGGGGACGCGGACUCGGGCGUCUCUGGGGCCGCUAUUCUGUGCGCCACAUGCACUGACGUAUGAUUUCCUUAAUUUUUUCUGGCAUCGCCUUGCAGCUCAGGUGCAGAGAUGGAGAAGGUGGGAGGUGACACUGAAGGAGGGCUGGGGCUCUGCCGGGGGGAAAAACUAGAAGGAAGAGGCCGAGGGAACUGAGGGCAAGGGUGGGUUUAAAGGAUGAUUUGUCAGGUCUGGUUAGGAUUGGUUAGGUCAUGACUAGGGUCGCCCUGCGACCUGGAAAUGUCACCGUGUUGGGAGAAAAUGGAGAGGUCAAGACCCUGAAGGGCUUGAUGAGGUUGCAAAGCAGGUAUAGUAGGGGGAUGGGAAAAGGAACUGGGUGCAUUGGAAGCUGUGGUCAGAGGAGGACGGGGGCCCUGAUGAUCUGGCAGGGGGGACAGUCAGGGGAGAUGGUGAGAUCCAGGCUGGGGAUGAAGGUGAGUGGACACGAGAAGGUCAGGUGGUCCCUGGAGGUGAGCAGGCCGGAGAGCUGAGAGGCCAGGGGUCAGAGUGUUGGCCCCGUGGACGUCGAUGUGGCAGGACUUGGGGUGUAGAGGAGGGCUUCGCGGCAGAGGUGAAGCCUCUGAUGACGUGAGGAGGCAGCCAGGAGGGUGUUCAGGAGAUGACAGUGGUGAGAAAGGGUUUGCGGUGGUCUACCCGGGCCCUCCGAGAAGGCUUUUCUCCAGGAGGGUGGAGGAGUGAUGGUUUCGAGGUGUCAGCGUCCCUCCACUCUCCUCUCCUGCAAUUAGAAGUCCAGGGACGUGAGCUCAUAACCUCCUCUGUUCCUGAGGUGGCAUCGGCAGUCUUGUUGGGAGCUGCAAGCGCAAAAGUGUCUGAAUCAGGUGUAUCUGCCCCCCAGCUGCCUCUGGAUCCUAAGGUCCCUUAGAUCUCCCUUCUCCCUUUCCAGUUCCACACCUCUUGGGACUGAGGAUGGGGCUGGGCAGCCUGAGUGUUACACUGGGACCCUGGCAGGGAAGCCCAGCAGGAGGACAGGGGAAAGGAGAGUCCUUGGGGGAGAAGAAGGGUUCAUCUGUCCCGGGAGGAUAGUUCCAGAGGACACAGUGGAGACGGAGGGUGGAAGGGAGCGUCGGCCGGUGGAGAAGCCGGGAGAGACUAGGGGGCCAGAGUGCAACUUCCCAAAUGGCUGCAGCUGCAUUCCUGCUCUCGUACGUUCCUCCAGAACCUGCCACUCCCCGUCAACAAGUGGGGUCCACUUCCCCUCCCCUUGGCCUCAAGCAGGCUUCUGACUGGACGCUUCAAGUGCAGUGGGAGUGAUGCUCUGUGACCUCUGACGCUCCCACCUUUCCCUCUUGCUCUGGGGACACCCGCCCUUGGGCCUGGCCACUGUGCUGUGAGAAGCCUCGUGUGUAGACAUUCAGGCUGAAAACUGAAGCCAAGGUCUUUGUCAGCAGCCAGCAUCACCUGUCAGGCCUGUGAGCUGAGCGGCCUGAGAUGAUCCCAGCUCCCACCGUCGGGCACCAGGUCUUCCAGCCGAGGCCCCAGGCACAGGAGCAGAGCUAAGCCAGCCUGACCCUGCCUCUGUCAAGCAGAGAUAAGAUCCUGUGACGGUAUUUAAUGGUUGCUUAAGAGCACUGAGUGUUGGUGCCAUUUGUUACGUAGCCGUACUAGCUAAUACACUCAGUGACUGGAAGGUUUUGUAAUUGAAGGAAGCAGCCCCAGCUUUCCAGGAAGCACUCAGUGUGAAGACAGCCUCCUGGCAGGGAGUGGAGGAGGAAGGCCACGAUCGCCACAGCCCAGACCCCCUGUGUGUACGCAGACAAGAUCUUGACUGUGUCUGGUGGUGGACAAGGAACCCGGUCUCUUCACCAGCCGCCAGGACAAAGCUGGGCCAGAAGUUCAUCGUGUGAAGUCACCAGAUCAUUUUGCUUUGUUCUGUUUUGUUUUGGCUGCGCGACUUGCAGGAUCUGAGUUCCCCCGCCAGGGGUUGAACCCUGGCCCUCGGCAGUAAAGCACGGAGUCCUGACCACUGGACUGGCAGGGAAUUCCAGAGAAGUCACCCGACCUUAACCAAAGGCAGCCUGAAUAUGCCCGAACUUUGGUCUCAUCCAGACACCGUUUAAGAUCUAGAGACCCGGGUCCGGCAAUAGUUACAUAAA